rnacentral:rRNA from 1 species
CCCCUAAAUAGAGACCAGUAUGAACGGCUAAAUGAGGGCCCGCCUGUCUCCUUUGGUCCCCCAAUGAAACUGAUCUGCUAGUCCAAAAGCUAGAAUACACACACAAGACGAGAAGACCCUGUGGAGCUUAAAACACACCAGCCACCCGCAACCCGCCCAAUGGCACCUGUUUUUAGUUGGGGCAACUAUGGAGCAAACAAAACCUCCACGAACCAGACUAACCGUCACGACAGGCCCACACGCCAGAAACUGACCCAGUACCACUGAUCAACGAACCAAGUUACCCCAGGGAUAACAGCGCCAUCCCCUUAAAGAGUCCAUAUCGCCAAGGGGGCUUACGACCUCGAUGUUGGAUCAGGACCCCCCGGCGGCGCAGUCGCUGCCAA